UGAGGAAUAUUGGUCAAUGGACGGAAGUCUGAACCAGCCAAGUAGCGUGCAGGAUGACGGCCCUAUGGGUUGUAAACUGCUUUUGUAUGGGGAUAAAGUUAGGGACGUGUCCCUAUUUGCAGGUACCAUACGAGUAAGGACCGGCUAAUUCCGUGCCAGCAGCCGCGGUAAUACGGAAGGUUCGGGCGUUAUCCGGAUUUAUUGGGUUUAAAGGGAGCGUAGGCCGUUUGGUAAGCGUGUUGUGAAAUGUAGGAGCUCAACUUCUAGAUUGCAGCGCGAACUGUCAGACUUGAGUGCGCACAACGUAGGCGGAAUUCAUGGUGUAGCGGUGAAAUGCUUAGAUAUCAUGAAGAACUCCGAUUGCGAAGGCAGCUUACGGGAGCGCAACUGACGCUGAAGCUCGAAGGUGCGGGUAUCGAACAGG
rnacentral:rRNA from 1 species